GGAUCAGGUAGGGAUACCCGCUGAACUUAAGCAUAUCAAU
rnacentral:rRNA from 1 species